GUUUCUGUAGUGUAGUGGUUAUCACGUUCGCCUUACACGCGAAAGGACCCUGGUUCGAAACCAGGCACAAACA
rnacentral:tRNA from 1 species